GAGCACGCGGCUAAAUGGAUAAGGCGCCUGACUACGGAUCAGGAGAUUCCAGGUUCGAGUCCUGGUAUUCUCG
rnacentral:tRNA from 1 species